UAAUUAUAAAAAUGUCCCUCUGACUUCUUGUUGCUGAAAAUACACAGGCUGUUUUGUUUUCAAAAAAACAACAUGUUCUCUCCCUCUUGUUUUUCUAUUUUUGGCAGGUUCUACCAUGAAAACUGUGGUGAUUACUACAGCCGAAAGCUCAAGUAAGACCUAAGGUGACACCCUCUAGCAUGGAGCUUUAUAAAGAUGAACUUUAAAGCCAAUCUUCAGUCCAAAUCUAUGCCUGUAGGCUUCGGAUGAGAUUCAUUCUGGACUCGCUGGCAGCAAAAAGUGACAGAGCUCACCGACAGCAAUACUUGUGGAAAUGGCACGCUGCCGCCCCGCGUUGUGACCAAAGUGUGAUGAGUACAAGCCCAGAAACCAGGCUGCAAACCCCCAUGGCUCUCGGCAUCUCCAGACUUAGGUAUGUGCUUAACUUGAGGCAUCGGAUUAUCUCUAGUGAAGCUGAUGUCCUGCAAAGGGAGGCUGA
rnacentral:lncRNA from 1 species